ACACGACUACAUUAGAUACCCGGGUAGUCCUAGCCGUAAAUGAUACUCGCUAGGUGUCGGCCACGGUGCGACCGUUGUCGGUGCCGUAGGGAAGCCGUGAAGCGAGCCACCUGGGAAGUACGGCCGCAAGGCUGAAACUUAAAGGAAUUGGCGGGGGAGCACAACAACGGGUGGAGCUUGCGGUUUAAUUGGAUUCAACGCCGGAAAUCUUACCGGGACCGACAGCAACAUGAAGGCCAAGCUGAAGACUUUGCCGGAUUAGCUG
rnacentral:rRNA from 1 species